AUGCAACCAAGAUCGAUCGCCAAGCGACGUGCGGUGGAUGCCGCCGACGUGCUCCCGGACGACCUCCUGCACGAGAUCUUCGCGCGCGUGGCGCCGGGCCUCCUCGACCUCAUUCGCUGCGCGGGCACGUGCGCGCGUUGGUUCCGGCUGAUCACCGGCCCGGCUUUCCUCCGGCGCGUCGGCAUCUCGCCGGAGAACACACGCCAUCGGUUCUCCUUCCUCUUUGGUGCCUUCUUCGGACCCGAAGCGAUACCCGUGCACCUGAACGCGCCCAGGAAAAGGAUAUCCGACUCGCCUCCGCGAUUCUUCAGGCUACGUGCGCAGCAGACCGGCGGCGAGCGUCUCACCUUCACCUCGUUCAUCCACAACAACAAUGGAACCUUCAACUACGCCAAGCCCCUGGUGUCGCAUCGCGGCCUUCUCCUCAUGCGCCGCCGCAUGCCCCAUGACUUGGAGAAGAUCCAUCUGGCCGUGUGCCACCCCUUGUUGGGCGCUCGGAGCACGCGUCUCCUCCCACCACCUCCGCAGGAUUUGGGCACCAUGGGCGUUUGGUAUGAUAUGACCGGCUAUGCCCUUGUUACUGCGGCAGACCACCGCGCCGCCGGUGAUCUAGACCACCGCAGGCAGCCACUGUUCCAAGUGCUUUUCACCACUAUAUGCUUCCAAAAAAAACGGGUGUACGCCUUCUCUUACUCCUCUGCCACGAAUAGUUGGAGUGCACCUAUCAAGUGCUCCCAAACUUUCGGCCUCACUAGGUCUGGGCCACUGGCUGGUGUGGUCAGCGGAAGCAUCGUGCAUUGGUUGUACACAAAUAAUAUAAACUUCUACACUCUCAACAUAUUCGCUGACGCAACACACGUGUCCUUAACCGAGAUCCCUAUUGAACUCAAAAGUGGCUUGCCACCGUUCCCAUGCAUCGUCGGGGAAGGAAAGCUCUCAUUUGUUUAUACAAGCACCGACAAUGUCCUAGAACUUUGGACGAAGCGAGAACAAGACAAUGAUCAUAGUGCUGAAGGUAAGGAAGGAUGGGUGCAGUCCGAGCUGAUGCCCCUAGAGGUCAAGGGAAUUGAAAUCUUGUCCUUCGCAGAGAGGUCAUGUGUGAUACUCAUGAUGCAGAAAGAGUGUCCUACCAUAUUCAGUCUUGACCUCGUGACCAAGAAAAUACAGCCGGUGAUAAGGGAAAACCGUAAUCUGGCCAUGUUUUAUUCAUAUAACGGCGAUGAAAUGUGGAGGUGCAAGAACCAUGUGCUCUACGAGAUUGAUUGGCCGUCAUACCUAUUUCACCUCUCGGCUGGAAGCUAA
rnacentral:rRNA from 1 species